GACGAACGCUGGCGGCGUGCUUAACACAUGCAAGUCGAACGGAAAGGCCCCUUUGGGGGUACUCGAGUGGCGAACGGGUGAGUAACACGUGAGUAACCUGCCCUUGACUUCGGGAUAACUUCAGGAAACUGGGGCUAAUACCGGAUAGGAAUCCUUGCUGCAUGGUGGGGGUUGGAAAGCUUCGGCGGUUUUGGAUGGACUCGCGGCUUAUCAGCUUGUUGGUGGGGUAGUGGCUUACCAAGGCUUUGACGGGUAGCCGGACUGAGAGGGCGACCGGCAACAUUGGGACUGAGAUACGGCCCAGACGCCUACGGGAGGCAGCAGUGGGGAAUAUUGCACAAUGGGCGGAAGCCUGAUGCAGCAACGCCGCGUGCGGGAUGACGGCCUUCGGGUUGUAAACCGCUUUCAGCAGGGGCGAAGCUUGUGGUGACGGUACCUGCAGAAGAAGCACCGGCUAACUACGUG
rnacentral:rRNA from 1 species